UACGUAGGGGGCGAGCGUUGUCCGGAUUUAUUGGGCGUAAAGAGCUCGUAGGCGGUUUGGUAAGUUGGAUGUGAAAUCUCCAGGCUCAACUUGGAGGGGUCAUUCGAUACUGCCAUGACUAGAGUUCGGUAGGGGAGUGUGGAAUUCCUGGUGGAGCGGUGAAAUGCGCAGAGAUCGGAAAGAACACCAACGGCGAAAGCACUCUGCUGGGCCGACACUGACACUGAGAGACGAAAGCUAGGGGAGCGAAUGGG
rnacentral:rRNA from 1 species